UCUUAUUGAUUCCUAAUUGCAUUCCAUUGUGGUCAGAAAACAGACUUUGCUCUACUUCAGUCAUUUUAAGUGAAUGAAGCCUUGUGUUGUGGUCUAGCAUAUGGCCAAUAUUUGGGAAGGUCUUUUUUAUAUUCUGAAAAAAAAAAGUAUAUCUGCUGCUAUUGGGCAGAAUGUUAUAAUUUACAGAGGUCUGUUAGGUCUAGUUGGUUCAUAAGCGUUACUCAAAUCUUCUAUUUCACUGCUUAUCUUCUGCUUAGUUCUUCUAUAUCCAUUAUUGAAGGUUGGGUAUAAAUGUCUCUAGUUGUUAUUGUUGACUUGUCUAUUUACCCCUUAAGCCUGUCAGUUUUUACUUCAUGUGUUUUGGGGCUCUUUUGCUAAGUGCAUGUAUGUUCAUAAUUGUUGUAUCUUCCCAAUGGAUUGAUCUUUUUAUCAUUAUAAAAUGUUCCUUUCUAUCUUUAGUAACAUGUUUUUCACUUUAAAGUCAACUUUGUCUGACCAGAGUAAAGCCUCUAAGUUCUCUUAUGGUUGCUGUUUGCAUAGCAUAUCCCUUUCCAUCCUUCUACUUGUAACCUAUUUGUAUCAUUGAAUCUACGGUUUUUCUCCUGCAGACAACAUACACUUGGAUCUUGGAUCUUCAUCCAAUCUGAUGAUCUAUCUCUUGAUUGAAUUGUCCAAUGAAAAUCCAUUUAUAUUUAAUGAUAUUAUAGAGAGAGUUGUAUUUAUACCUGGCAUUUCCUUGUUUUCUCUAUGUCUCAUGUCUUUUUGUUCUUCCUUUCCUCCUUCCUGCUUCCCUUUGCACUAAGCAAAUAUUGACUAGUAUAACAUUUAUACUCCUUCAAAGACUUUUCACUAUAUUUUUUGAGUUAUUUUCUUAGUGGUUAUUUUAGAGUUUACGUGUCUUAUCAGAAUCUACCUCAGAUUUAUACCAACUUAGUUCCAAUGAAAUACAGAAACGUCUCAGGAGUAAUCUUAUUCCUUACCCUUCUUUGUGUUCUACAAUUAUCACACAUACCAAAUAUAGACCUAGGUUGGAAAUUCAAUAUUACAUAGCAAAAUUUCCUGCUUUAUAGAAUUUGUGUUUCUUGAAGAAGCUGAGAGAUGUUGUGGCUCAAAUGCCACAGACUCUCAUGUUCUUACAGACUCUUGAUAGAUUUUCUCCAGGAAAUUUUCUUCAUUUGCUGCAUACCCUUAGAAAAACUUCCAGAGGGGCACCUGGGUGGCUCAGUUGGUUGAGCGUCUGCCUUUGGCUGAGGUCAUGAUCUCAGGGUCCUGGGAUUGAGUCCCACGUUGGGCUCCCUGCUCAAUGGCUAGCCUGCUUCUCCCUCACCUCCCCACUCAUGCUCUCUCCUACUACCUCUCUCUCUCUCGAAUAAAUAAAUAACAUCUUGUAAAAAAAAGAAAAGAAAAACUUCCAGAGAUUUUAAAUGGCUUUUGCUGCUCAUUAUCAUUUUCAUCAAUUAUCCUUGUUUUGCAGAGGAAUGAGAUCACACAGCCCUCACUUAGGCAUUCUUGAUGUAGAAUGCUAAAGUACAUAUACAGUUCUCAUUUCUUUUUAAGGUAUGCUUUAUAUAAACAAAGAACAAUUUUAACAAUUGUUUAAAUGGCCUAUAGCAGGGGGUAAAGACUUUCCUUUAUAUUCAGAAUGUCACUGAGCAUAUGUGUAAUAUAUUUUUUGAGUCUGUUUGGUUAAUCAGUUUACAUUCUACCCCUUGCAUCAGACAUGAUUAGAGAUGAUUUAACUGCUGUAUACACUAUGGCAAGAAAAGUAAAAAUUAACCAAGGAAAGUAAGGCAAGGGGAAAUAAGAAUUUCCAAUAACAGUGAUGAAUUUUGCUAAGUGUCUCUACUUUCUUGUUGGCUCACUAGUGUAACCAAAAGCAGAUGCAGUUUUUCAAGUGCCUGGUAUCCAUACGGGGACUAAAUCUUAUCCCAUGCCUGAGACUCACAACCUGAGUAACACUUGGGUUCUUUGGGCUGCAUUUCCCUGUAGCACUUAACCUCUGGGAUCAGCUAUCCAGCAGGAGAGUUUUAGAAGUCAUUUGUUUUUAUGCAAAUGUUCCUCCUGUCUUGUGCCAAUAUUUAUGCCUCCACACUUGUGAAUUCACAAGCCAUCUUGUUCUCAGGAAUAUUCCACUAACAUUUAUCAUUGCAUUAUCUUGAAGAAUAAUAACCAAAAUUGAAAUGUAUGAGUAAUUCUUUGGGAUUAAUUUAGAAGAGCUUGUUCAUGGCUAUGAAUAUACCGAGAUAUUUAUAAUAGACUACUGAUUCCCCCUCAGUCUCAUUAUUGUUGGUCUAUAACACCAACUCUUUGUCUUUUACUGUUAUUUUAAAUUCUGUAGUUAAGAAAACAAUAUUAAAUUCCAUCACAAUUAUCACUGGCUAAAAGAUUAGUUCUGUGGGACCUACAGUUUACUUGUAGCCAAGUAAAGGUGAUUGUAUCUCCAUUGGAAUUUAAAACCUUAGAGCUGCGUUAUUCAGCUGUGGUAAAAUCUUCUGUCUACCAAUAUUUAUUUCCAGCCUUCCUCCUUGCUAACAAAACCAUGAUUUUAUUCAGGGUGGCAAUUUGACCAGCUCCAGACAAUGAUUCAUGAUUGGUGUAGGCCAAUUACGACAGUCAUUCAUCUCUGCCACGUACCCUUUUUCCCCAGACUCGUUUGCAACUAUAGGUGGCUAUUUGAUCCAGGUCUGGUCAUGAGAUGGUAGCAGGGAGCUGCUGGAGGGCCCUCUAGGAAAUAUCUUCCUCUACUGUAAAUGGAAAUCCUUUUUUUCACCAUGUUUUUCUCUCUUAUAUAAAAAUGUACCUGCGCAAGGGGAGUAGUGUUCAAACUGUGACUGCUAUUUUGCAACAUGGACGUACGAGCCUAAGGAUAAAAAGCUGAUACCCCAAGGAUCGGCAAGACCAGAGUCUGCAUCUUUGAUGACAUUUUUUGAGCUUCUGUGCUAAGCUUGGAUCUUUAUUUUCCAAUUUAUUAGGUAAGAAAAUUAAGCCAUUUUAGGGUUUAAAUCCCUCUUAGUCAGGUGUUCUGUUGUUUAGAGCUUACAGCAUUCCAAAUAAAUACAGCAGUCCUACCAAGUUGUUACUAAAGUUUCAUGGUAUAUAGACAGUUUUGCAAAGAAUUAGAACUUAAUUAGAACUUUUGCAGAAUUAGAACUUAACCCCAAUGUGGGAUAGAACUUAAAAGAAUGCUUGAGUGAUUUAAUCAGAUAGUUAUGUCCACAGUACUUUUCAGAAUACAAGACCCUGCUUUGAUAGUUAAUUGAAAAUCCAAAUGGAACUAAGCCAUUGGGUUUUCUCCCCACUGUUUGCACCUGAAUAGAUCUGCUUGGGACUCAGCAGGAGACCCCUGUCAGAUUUGUAAAAUACCUGCAAGAAACCCCAUCCUGAAUGGAUCUCACCAAGUAUUUAUUGCUUUUAAAUGUCCUGGCAAGCAAAUUCCUACUUAGAGCUCAUCAUGAAGCAUUUGCAAGCUCUUUCCUGUCUCUCCUUUGGAAGCAGAGGGCUGCCUUGUAACCCACUGCAUCCUUUCACCCUCCAUUCUCAACCUUUACCGUGCUAUGGGCUAGGUCCACACUAAAGUAAGCAAGAACCUGUGUGUGGACUUUGCUUUUAGGGGUCUUUGUACCAUCAUAGUUGAGCUGUUACAUGGUUUGCUUCUGUUUUUAACUUAACAACCCAUCAAGGGAGGCUAACUGAAUGCAACUUUGUUACUAUUUAUAAACCCACAGGUCUGUUCCCCAUUUCCUUUUCCUAAAUGCAUCCACUAAUUCUACUACUCUUAUUUCAAAAUAUAAGAGCAGAGCCUUCCAGAAGUUACUGGGUUCCUGCCUCCUAUCAGAUUGACACCAAACUCUUAUUAAGACAAAUGGUUGUCUAUAUUUAUCCUAUAUGCUAACUAAAUUUAAUGAGCAUAGUCAUGUAUUAUAUUAGUAUGUGACUUAGAGUUUACCAGGUCCUUUCACAAUAAACUUUUUGUCAUUUAAUGUCUUUGCAAUUUUAUGUGUUGGGUAUUUUAUUCCUCUGUUUAAAAACAGGGAAGUUGAGACCCAGAGGUUAAGUGACUUGGGUCUUGUGGUGAUUCAUAGAGACAUUCCUUAGGGAGAUCAAGUGGCAUAGGGGAGGUAUUCUGAAGACCAGAACCAAAAAUACCAAUCAGGAAAGGACAACAUUGAAUCCUGAGUCCCCAGAGCCAGCACAUGAUGGCGAAGGAAGCAGGGCAAGAGGCUGGUGCGAAGAGGAGCAGGCUUGAAAGCAAGACAACAUGUGAGCAAAAUCACAUGAUAUAGUUCUUGAUAUGAACCAUAGCUACAGAAAUGCAUCUUGAGCAGUCCUGGAUUCAUCUACCUUGAGUUUUCAGCUUCUGGAAGGUAGGAUGCUUGUUUGUUUGAUGCAAAGAUUUCCAGAGACAAGUAUCACUUCUUACAUAGGUUUUAGUAUCUUGGGUAGAUUGCAAAAUCAAGAAUGCCCCGUGAAGGUGAUCGAAGAUGCUUCUAAAUAAUUCCUCAAGCUAUGGUCACAGUCUUUCUGCAGAAUUGAUGCUAUGUGUAGCAUAGGAAAAUUAUUUUGACUCCCAUGUUACAGACUAAGAAAUCUAGACUCAGAUGACUAAGAUUUCAUGUGAGCUUGUACAACUUCCAAUAGAUACCUGGGCCAAAUCCUAGACCCAUGCUUUUCCUACUGUUCCACAUGGAAGUGUAUCUCAAUGAUGGAAAAUUUCUUGUGGUUUCCUUCCCUGGCCUACACUGUGCUUUGUACAUUGAUGGUUUGGUAAAUGCAAAUAUGUGUAAACCCUCAUCCCACCAUUUAUCAGUUGCAUGACUUUGAGCAUAUUAUUUAACCACUCUGAGUCACAGCUGGCCAUUUUAAAAAUGUGCAUAUGAAGUGUUAAGUUUUUUAGUAACUAGACGGAAAUGAGACCGCCAAGGCAAGCGAGGGUCCAAGAACAGAUUUUAUUGCAGGCACCCUCGGGGAGGUUCCACGACUCACGGGGGAAAGAGAGUGAGUCGAGGAAGUCGCGCCAAGACAAGGUGGUUGGGGUUUACAUAACGUUAUAAGGCAGAACGGUUUCCUAUUGGUUGGCUCAUAUGCAAAGGAAGGAUUGCAAUCCAACCAGUCAGAGUGACCCUCACUAUGCAAAGGAAGGAUUGCAAUUCGACCAGUCAGAGUGACCCUCACUAUGCAAAGGAAGGAUUGCCAUUCGACCAGUCAAAGGUGACUUCCUCCUCUGGGGUUUGAAGGGCAUUGGGUUCGGUUGAGGAAGUCCAAAGGAGAGGUGUAAGGGUCUGCUCAAGCUGUCGUCCCAAGUGGAGGUGGUGACAGGAACCUCAGCCAUUUUGGCGUAUCCGCCAUCUUGAGGAGUUUCCCUUCCCGCCUGGCCCCAACAUUCCGACCUUUUGUUUUAUAUAAUGGUGUCGGGGGCGUCGACUCUGCUCUGGCUACUUCCUGCUGACGGUGGGGCGUCGUUGUAGGGAUAGUCGGAUGUGGGCAGGCCAGAGUAUGGGUGAAGUAAAAGUUGGUUGACAGAUACCCGGGUGAGUUCUUGCAGGUGUUCCUAUAAACAUCGAAACAAGCAAGGGGCGACAGAGAUGAGAAGAAGGAUUAGGCAUAGGGGUCCCGCCAAAGGGAGU
rnacentral:lncRNA from 1 species